UACGUAGGGCGCAAGCGUUAUCCGGAAUUAUUGGGCGUAAAGAGCUCGUAGGCGGUUUGUCGCGUCGGGAGUGAAAACACCGGGCUUAACUCGGUGCUUGCUUUCGAUACGGGCAGACUAGAGGCAUGCAGGGGAGAACGGAAUUCCUGGUGUAGCGGUGAAAUGCGCAGAUAUCAGGAGGAACACCGGUGGCGAAGGCGGGUCUCUGGGCAACAACUGACGCUGAGGAGCGAAAGCGUGGGGAGCGAACAGG
rnacentral:rRNA from 1 species